UUCCGGUUGAUCCUGCCAGACCUGACUGCUAUCGGAUUGAUACUAAGCCAUGCGAGUCAUUGUAGCAAUACAAGGCAGACGGCUCAGUAACGCGUAGUCAACCUACCCUAUGGACGGGAAUAACCUCGGGAAACUGAGAAUAAUGCCCGAUAGAACAUUAUGCCUGGAAUGGUUUAUGUUCCAAAUGAUUUAUCGCCGUAGGAUGGGACUGCGGCCUAUCAGUUUGUUGGUGAGGUAAUGGCCCACCAAGACUAUUACAGGUACGGGCUCUGAGAGGAGUGGCCCGGAGAUGGGUACUGAGACACGGACCCAGGCCCUAUGGGGCGCAGCAGGCGAGAAAACUUUGCAAUGUGCGAAAGCACGACAAGGUUAAUCCGAGUGGUUUCUGCUAAAGGAACCUUUUGACAGUCCUAGAAACACUGUUGAAUAAGGGGUGGGCAAGUUCUGGUGUCAGCCGCCGCGGUAAAACCAGCACCUCAAGUGGUCAGGAUGAUUAUUGGGCCUAAAGCAUCCGUAGCCGGCUCUGUAAGUUUUCGGUUAAAUCUAUACGCUCAACGUAUAGGCUGCCGGGAAUACUGCAGAGCUAGGGAGUGGGAGAGGUAGACGGUACUCGGUAGGAAGGGGUAAAAUCCUUUGAUCUAUUGAUGACCACCUGUGGCGAAGGCGGUCUACCAGAACACGUCCGACGGUGAGGGAUGAAAGCUGGGGGAGCAAACCGGAUUAGAUACCCGGGUAGUCCCAGCUGUAAACUAUACAAACUCAGUGAUGCAUUGGCUUGUGGCCAAUGCAGUGCUGCAGGGAAGCCGUUAAGUUUGCCGCCUGGGAAGUACGUACGCAAGUAUGAAACUUAAAGGAAUUGGCGGGGGAGCACCACAAGGGGUGAAGCCUGCGGUUCAAUUGGAGUCAACGCCGGA
rnacentral:rRNA from 2 species